rnacentral:rRNA from 1 species
UACGAAGGGGGCUAGCGUUGUUCGGAAUCACUGGGCGUAAAGCGCACGUAGGCGGAUUUUUAAGUCAGGGGUGAAAUCCCGGGGCUCAACCUCGGAACUGCCUUUGAUACUGGAGAUCUUGAGUCCGGAAGAGGUAAGUGGAACUGCGAGUGUAGAGGUGAAAUUCGUAGAUAUUCGCAAGAACACCAGUGGCGAAGGCGGCUUACUGGACCGGUACUGACGCUGAUGCGCGAAAGCGUGGGGAGCAAACGGG